UGCCACAGCCAUAUCACCCUGCAGCCCAAAACCAGUUAUUUACUGAAGCUAAGCAGGGCUGAGUCAGUACCUGGAUGGGAGACCACAUGGGAAAAAUAGGUUGCUGUUGGAA
rnacentral:rRNA from 1 species